CCGGCGACCGGCGCACGGGUGAGUAACGCGUAUGCAACCUGCCCGUUUCAGCGGGAUAACCCGGAGAAAUCCGGCCUAAUACCGCAUGUGGCCGAGGGGAGGCAUCUUCUUUCGGCCAAAGGAGGCGACUCCGGAGACGGAUGGGCGUGCGUGACAUUAGCUAGUUGGCGGGGUAACGGCCCACCAAGGCGACGAUGUCUAGGGGUUCUGAGAGGAAGGUCCCCCACACUGGUACUGAGACACGGACCAGACUCCUACGGAAGGCAGCAG
rnacentral:rRNA from 1 species